GCCGCUUUAGCUCAGUUGGUAGAGCACAUCAUUCGUAAUGAUGGGGCCACAGGUUCGAGUCCUGUAAGCGGCA
rfam:Croceicoccus naphthovorans strain PQ-2, complete genome.